rnacentral:tRNA from 1 species
GGGUCUAGCUCAGCGGCAGAGCGCGUGCUUAGCAUGCACGAGGUCCUGGUUCCACCCCUGGUAGCUCCA